rnacentral:rRNA from 1 species
GGGGAGAUUCAGGUCUCGCCGCGCGCCGCGCCGCGCCCGCGACAAGGGAUGGCGUUAAAAAAGCCGUGGGGCAACCCACGGUCCGGGANCCACUCCGCGGGCGCGGUCCCGGCGCCGGAGUGACGCACUUCUCCCCCGGUAGAACGUCGCGAUCCGUCGGGCGCCGGCCUAAGGUCCCGGGUGGAGCCGAGCCCGCGCCCGACCCAGGGGAUCCCGGCCGGGUGCCCGACGGUACGAAGAGAGGAAGGAGUCGGCGCGCCUAGGCGUCNNNCCCUCCGCAAGCACUCGCGGGAGAGGGAGGCGGGCCCGGCCCGGCCUCUCUUCAUCGGGGCUGUUUGCGACGGAGGUGUGCUCGGACCUAGGNUGGUNCUNANAANGUUUUUGGGCUCNUUCNUGCCUGGAGAANNCGCCGGUGCAGAUCUUCNNUGGUAGUAGCAAAUACUCCAGCGAGGCCCUGGAGGACUGAUGUGGAGAAGGGUUUCGUGUGAACAGCCGUUGCACACGAGUCAGUCGAUCCUAAGCCCUAGGAGAAAUCCGAUGCAAACGGCGAUGGGAAACGCCCAUUGAUCGGGCGAAAGGGAAUCCGGUUCCUAUUCCGGAACCCGGCAGCGGAACCGUUGUUUGUCGGGCCCUCGCAAGGGGUUCGUCAGGGCAACCUAAAANGGCCCGGAGACGCCGUCGGGGGCCCCGGAAAGAGUUUUCUUUUCUGCAUGAGCGUUCGAGUUCCCUGGAAUCCUCUCGCAGGGAGAUAGGGUUUGGAACGCGAAGAGCACCGCAGUUGCGGCGGUGCGCGGGAAUUCCCGACGGACCUUGAAAAUCCGGGAGAGGGCCACGUGGAGNUGUCGCGCCGGCUCGUACCCAUAUCCGCAGCAGGUCUCCAAGGUGAAGAGCCUCUAGUCNNNNNNNNNNNNNNNGUUAGACCUUUACCCGUCUUGAAACACGGACCAAGGAGUCUAACAUGCGCGCGAGUCGUUGGGUCGGACACGCUCCGCUAAACCCAUAGGCGCAAUGAAAGUGAAGGUCGCCCUUUGCGGGACCGAGGGAGGACGGAGGCGUUCCUCCCGCACUCCC